AAUAGUUUUAAUUGAAUUAGAAUAGAUAUUUUAAUUUAUUUUUGUUAGGUUUAAGGAACUCGACAAAUAAUAUAUUCACCUGUUUAUCAAAAACAUGUCUGUUAAAAAUUUUUUAAUAGUCUGGCCUGCCCACUGAUAUUAUAAAGGGCCGCGGUAUUUGGACCGUGCUAAGGUAGCAUAAUCAAUAGUCUUUUAAUUGAAGUCUGGAAUGAAUGGUUGGAUGAAAUAUAGGUUGUCUUAGGCUAUAUGGGUUGAAUUUUACUUUUAAGUGAAAAGGCUUAAAUGAAUUAGGGGGACGAUAAGACCCUGUGAAGCUUUAAUACUAUUAAGUUGUUCUUAGAUAAUAUCUUUGUGAUUAUUUUUAUAUUUUAAUAGUAUUUGGUUGGGGCGAUUGGAAUAUAUAUGUAACUGUUCUUUUACAAAAAUAGUAAUUUUUAGGGCGUUGAUCUUUAAUUUAGGAUUAAAAGAUUAAAGUUACUCCAGGGAUAACAGCGUAAUUCUUUUUGAGAGUUCUUAUCGACAAAAGUAUUUGCGACCUCGAUGUUGAAUUAAAAGUUUCUCCAAGGCGUAGGAGUUUUGGUUGUAGGUCUGUUCGACCUUUAAAAUUUUACAUGAUUUGAGUUCAGACCGGCGUGAGCCAGGUUAGUUUCUAUCUUUUACUUUUUGUAGAUCAUUUUAGUACGAAAGGAGAUGGUGGUUAGAAUAGUUUUUUUAUUAGAUGAAUUUUA
rnacentral:rRNA from 1 species